AGCAAAAGAUCGACCUUUAGCGGCUCUAUGUUAGAAACGCAGCAAACUGUCAUUGUUGAGUAAAGGAAACUACGUCGUUUUACUCUCCUCUAAUUCUAUCCUAGCCAUAUACCUGAAACCCCAUUUUUUACCCUUAAAAUAUUUCCCCCAAUCUCUCAAAUUUUUGAAAAACCUUAAAUUUUCCCUAAACCAAAAUCGACACCCAUCGACUGCAGCGCCUCUGACCCAAGCAUCUGCAUAGCCAUUGAGUGUCCCUCUGCUGCGUUGCCGUCCUCUGUCGCAACCAUACAGUCCCACUUGCAUUCAUAGGUAUAGAUAGAUAUCUACAUUGCAUGUUCGAUAUAAAUGGGCUGAAACACGAAUUUUUUUACUUCGAAGGUUAAUCGAUUGCAAAGCGAAGGUUAUUAUGGACGCGUGCGACUGCUUAUGUUCUUUUAGUUAACUCUUUCAUAAGCAUUGCAAGGAUAAUAACAUAAAUCUCUCACCAGGGAACUUCACCCUCUCGUAUUGGGCUAAUAUACCUCGCCAGGAAAAAUGUGUAGAAGAAGAUUACGAGAUUUAAGUAUUGUCUAGAAUACUUCAAAUUCGGAAGAAGCGAAUAGUGAACAGCAGGCAGUUAUUAGAUCUUCGAAUGUACCAGAGACACUUGACGAGCCUGCAGAAUUUCAAACUGAAAGUGGUGGGACGCGCAGAGGUCGAGGAUGUACACUACUUAAAGAUUUAUACGACUUAGAUCCUGUUGAGUGUGUCAAAGUAAGUAGAAACAGUCAUGGUCAGCUUGUUGGAUCUGAAGCUCGACUUUUAGUAGGCUAUUUGGGCAUUAUAGCACGAAAUGCCAAUUUGUUGCCCAUCAACUACAAAUCAUGGCAUCACAUGCCUGAUAGCAACAAAAAUCAAGCUCUCAAUAAUAUUAAGGAGAGAUUUGCUUUAGAGGUCUCGGAUGACUAUAUCAAGAAGGCAUUGGGUAAAAAAUGGAGAGACCAUAAAAGCACUUUGAAAAAAGAAUAUUUUAAGAAAGACAUAGGCCUCGAAAAAAAAUUGCGAAAUGUCCCGCCGGGAAUGCUGAGGUACCAAUGGGAAGAUGCGGUUAGAUUCUGGAAAUCAAAGAAAGGAGAGGGCCAUGAGCGAGUUGAACAAGCAGCAGGAAAAAACAAAAAUUCAUGCACACGGCAGGGUCGAGAAGUUUUGCUUCUGUAGCUGAGGUUGAGGAAGUCUUUUCUGGUCAAAAGCUAGACGCCUUCAGCUUUUUCACAUUACGUAUAGGAAGAAAGAUGGAUCUCCUAUGACAUCCGAAGCUGGAGAAAUUAUGGAGAAAUUAAAGGAGAAGAACGCGGAGUAUGAAGCGAUUGCUUCGACUGAUAGUUCUGUUAAUCUUGAGGACAUUAAUAACAGAAUUAUUACUGAAUCUUUGGGUCCUAAAAGGUAUGGUCGGGUUCGAUUUCAAGGAUCUGGUGUUACCCUGACCCAAUAUUUUUGAUCUAGCUCCCAGCAAUACAUGUCUUCUGGGAGUCAAGCUCAAGCUGAAGUUCAGAGGUUAAGAGACCAGAUAGCUCAUAUGCAAGCGAGCAUAGUUGAGCAAAUUGCUGAGGUACAAAGAAAAUAUGAAGAACUCCAGCAACAACU